rnacentral:rRNA from 1 species
CCUACGGGAGGCAGCAGUGGGGAAUAUUGCACAAUGGGGGAAACCCUGAUGCAGCGACGCCGCGUGAGUGAAGAAGUACUUCGUUAUGUAAAGCUCUAUCAGCAGGGAAGAAAAUGACGGUACCUGAGUAAGAAGCCCCGGCUAACUACGUGCCAGCAGCCGCGGUAAUACGUAGGGGGCAAGCGUUAUCCGGAUUUACUGGGUGGAAAGGGAGCGUAGACGGCAGUGCAAGUCUGGAGUGAAAGGCGGGGGCUCAACCCCCGGACUGCUCUGGAAACUGUACGGCUGGAGUGCAGGAGAGGUAAGUGGAAUUCCUAGUGUAGCGGUGAAAUGCGUAGAUAUUAGGAGGAACACCAGUGGCGAAGGCGGCUUACUGGACUGUAACUGACGUUGAGGCUCGAAAGCGUGGGGAGCAAACAGGAUUAGAUACCCUAGUAGUC